AAAAUCCUGCCAGUGCUGGUCUAGGGCCUCCUGGCCUGGAGUUCUCAACGUAUUUCAAGCACUGUGACUUGAUUCUAACACAGAAGUUUACUGUACAUUGGUAAAUCACGAAACACAAAGUCACAUACCGUGCUGGCGUUCCAAUGUGAAAUCCCCGUCUUGCCACUACCGGAAGUCAGCUCCUAUUUACCGCCUCUCUAUGGGAGGAACCUUAGAUAUCAAUGACGUAUAUAUAGAGCUAGACCGCUCACUGGCCGCUGAGAGGCGGUAAAUAGGAGCUGACUUCCGGUAGUGGCAAGACGGGGAUUUCACAUUGGAACGCCAGCACGGUGGAUGUGGCUAAUAUCUGACCAUGGUGAAGUCGUGUGCUGCCAUCUCCUGCACCAGUCGAUUUGUAAUAUUUCCUUUCAUAAGUUUCCCAAGCAGUCCAAGGACAGCACACUGAGAGAUCAAUGGAUACAGGCCAUCAGUAGAGAAGCGGUGAGGACCAAGAGGAGAUGAUCAUAAUUAUGUAUGCAGCAACCAUUUCAGGGAGGAGGACUUCAUCCUCUCAAAACAUGCUCAACACAAGCUUCUCAGGCCAGGGGCUGUACCAUCCCUCAAUCUGGGGAAACCAGAGAAAAAGAUGGCAGUGAGGACAACCCAAACCAGCCAGGCAGCAGUGGCAUUAUACCAGCACAUGGACAUGGAGCCUGAACAAGAGUCUGAAGAGGACAGUGCUGCUGUUAGUGAACACCAUGCAUACUGUACAGACAGCGACAACCUGAAGAGGAAAUAUGACGGUCUAAUUGUACAGCUUGAAAAGCUGAGGCAGGACUUCAACAAUGCCAAACGUAGAGAGAAGCGCUGCAGAGUGACAUUGGAGGCCAUGUUAGCUAAAA